rnacentral:rRNA from 1 species
ACGCUCGACACCUACGGGAGUCAGCAGUGAGGAAUAUUGGUCAAUGGGCGCAGGCCUGAACCAGCCAAGUAGCGUGAAGGAUGACUGCCCUAUGGGUUGUAAACUUCUUUUAUAUGGGAAUAAAGUUUUCCACGUGUGGAAUUUUGUAUGUACCAUAUGAAUAAGGAUCGGCUAACUCCGUGCAGCAGCCGCGGUAAUCUGAGCGGGCGUGGCGAAGGC